rnacentral:rRNA from 1 species
CCUACGGGUGGCAGCAGUGAGGAAUAUUGGUCAAUGUGCGCGAGCCUGAACCAGCCAAAUAGCGUGAAGGCUGACUGCCCUACGGGUUGUAAACUUCUUUUAUAAAGGAAUCAAGUGAGGCACGUGUUCCUUUUUGUAUGUACUUUAUGAAUAAGGAUCGGCUAACUCCGUGCCAGCAGCCGCGGUAAUACGGAGGAUCCGAGCGUUAUCCGGAUUUAUUGGUUUUAAAGGGAGCGUAGAUGGGUUGUUAAGUCAGUUGUGAAAGUUUGCGGCUCAACCGUAAAAUUGCAAUUGAUACUGGAAGCCUUGAGUACAGUUGAGGUAGGCGGAAUUCGUGGUGUAGCGGUGAAAUGCUUAGAGAUCACGAAGAACUCCGAUUGCGAAGGCAGCCUACUAAACUGCCACUGACAUUGAUGCUCGAAAGUGUGGGUAUCAAACAGGAUUAGAUACCCCAGUAGUC